rnacentral:rRNA from 1 species
AGUGAACGCUGGCGGUAGGCCUAACACAUGCAAGUCGAACGGCAGCACAGUAAGAGCUUGCUCUUACGGGUGGCGAGUGGCGGACGGGUGAGGAAUACAUCGGAAUCUACUUUUUCGUGGGGGAUAACGUAGGGAAACUUACGCUAAUACCGCAUACGACCUACGGGUGGAAGCAGGGGAUCUUCGGACCUUGCGCGAUUGAAUGAGCCGAUGUCGGAUUAGCUAGUUGGCGGGGUAAAGGCCCACCAAGGCGACGAUCCGUAGCUGGUCUGAGAGGAUGAUCAGCCACACUGGAACUGAGACACGGUCCAGACUCCUACGGGAGGCAGCAGUGGGGAAUAUUGGACAAUGGGCGCAAGCCUGAUCCAGCCAUACCGCGUGGGUGAAGAAGGCCUUCGGGUUGUAAAGCCCUUUUGUUGGGAAAGAAAAGCAGCAGGUUAAUACCCCGCUGUGCUGACGGUACCCAAAGAAUAAGCACCGGCUAACUACGUG